rnacentral:rRNA from 1 species
UACGAAGGGUGCAAGCGUUACUCGGAAUUACUGGGCGUAAAGCGUGCGUAGGUGGUUUGUUAAGUCUGUUGUGAAAGCCCCGGGCUCAACCUGGGAAUGGCAAUGGAUACUGGCAAGCUAGAGUGCGGUAGAGGGUAGUGGAAUUCCCGGUGUAGCGGUGAAAUGCGUAGAGAUCGGGAGGAACACCAGAGGCGAAGGCGGCGACCUGGACAAGUACUGACACUCAACUACGAAAGCGUGGGGAGCAAACAGG